GAUGAACGCUGGCGGCGUGCCUAAUACAUGCAAGUCGAGCGAACAGAUGAGGAGCUUGCUCCUCUGACGUUAGCGGCGGACGGGUGAGUAACACGUGGAUAACCUACCUAUAAGACUGGGAUAACUUCGGGAAACCGGAGCUAAUACCGGAUAAUAUAUUGAACCGCAUGGUUCAAUAGUGAAAGACGGUUUUGCUGUCACUUAUAGAUGGAUCCGCGCCGCAUUAGCUAGUUGGUAAGGUAACGGCUUACCAAGGCAACGAUGCGUAGCCGACCUGAGAGGGUGAUCGGACACACUGGAACUGAGACACGGUCCAGACUCCUACGGGAGGCAGCAGUAGGGAAUCUUCCGCAAUGGGCGAAAGCCUGACGGAGCAACGCCGCGUGAGUGAUGAAGGUCUUCGGAUCGUAAAACUCUGUUAUUAGGGAGGAACAAAUGUGUAAGUAACUAUGCACGUCUUGACGGUACCUAAUCAGAAAGCCACGGCUAACUACGUG
rnacentral:rRNA from 1 species